CCUACGGGAUGCAGCAGUGGGGAAUAUUGGACAAUGGGCGAAAGCCUGAUCCAGCCAUGCCGCGUGUGUGAAGAAGGCCUUCGGGUUGUAAAGCACUUUCAGUGGGGAAGAAAGCCUUGGGGCUAAUACCCUCGAGGAAGGACAUCACCCACAGAAGAAGCACCGGCUAACUCCGUGCCAGCAGCCGCGGUAAUACGGAGGGUGCGAGCGUUAAUCGGAAUUACUGGGCGUAAAGCGCGCGUAGGCGGUCUGAUAAGCCGGUUGUGAAAGCCCCGGGCUCAACCUGGGAACGGCAUCCGGAACUGGCAGGCUAGAGUGCAGGAGAGGAAGGUAGAAUUCCCGGUGUAGCGGUGAAAUGCGUAGAGAUCGGGAGGAAUACCAGUGGCGAAGGCGGCCUUCUGGACUGACACUGACGCUGAGGUGCGAAAGCGUGGGUAGCAAACAGGAUUAGAUACCCCAGUAGUC
rnacentral:rRNA from 1 species